rnacentral:rRNA from 1 species
AAACAUUGCCUUUAGAACAAAUAUUAAAGGUCAGUCUGCCCAGUGAAUAAUUAAUAACAAUAUAACAUUUAAACGGCCGCGGUAUCCCUGACCGUGCUAAGGUAGCACAAUCAUGAGCCUCCUAAUUAGAGGAUAGAAUGAAUGAAUCAACACGAAACAAGCUGUCUCUCUUGUAAAUUUGGAAAUUUAAAUUUAGGUGAAAAUGCCUACAUCGCUCACAAAGACAGAAAGACCCUAUAAGCUUCUACAAUAAUAUUACACCAAUAAAAAUGUAUUUAACUGGGGCGGUUAUAAGAAUAAAACACUUCUAUCCAUAAGAGAUAUAACUCUUUAUCAAUUAUCUAUUUAGCAUCUAAGAAAGUUACUAUAGGGAUAACAGACUAAUACUUCUUUAGAGCACAUAUCAACAGAAGUGCUUAGUACCUCGAUGUUGGCUUAAGGAUCCCAUUUUAUGCAGACGUAAACAAGGGGGGUUUGUUCAACCUUUAAUUCCUUACAUGAUCUGA